rnacentral:lncRNA from 1 species
UCACACAAUUACGGAGGUUAGUAAGUGGUUAUUGGUGGUUUGGAGUUGUUGCUCAACCGACAGUGAGAGUGGGUCGCUCUUAUACGGUUGUUGCGGAGAGAAACAUUCGUGUUGUUGUUAGCGGCGCUAACGUAGGUUGUGGGUCUGAGAUAUGGUGUUGAAUAUGAUGAAACUUGAAGGUUGGAAGGAAGGCGAUGGCUAUGGAUUUGUUGUGGUGGUUGGCGGAAGACGAAAAUGGGAGGUAAUCCGGUGAUGGAAGAAAGGUUGUUUUGGUGAGAGGGUGAAGAUGACAGUGUCGUCGGCGGAGGUAGUGGGGAUUUUGAAGCGAAGGUGAUGGAGUAAAUGGAGAGGAAAGGAUAAACUUUUUGCAGUGAGAAUGGGAGGAAAUAACGUGUGAGGGCCCUGUUCUUUUGUUUUUU